GACGAACGCUGGCGGCGUGCUUAACACAUGCAAGUCGAACGGAAGGGCCCUGCUUUUGUGGGGUGCUCGAGUGGCGAACGGGUGAGUAACACGUGAGUAACCUGCCCUUGACUCUGGGAUAACUUCAGGAAACUGGGGCUAAUACCGGAUAGGAGCUCCUGCUGCAUGGUGGGGGUUGGAAAGUUUCGGCGGUUGGGGCUGGACUCGCGGCUUAUCAGCGUGUUGGUGGGGUAGUGGCUUACCAAGGCUUUGACGGGUAGCCGGCCUGAGAGGGUGACCGGCCACAUUGGGACUGAGAUACGGCCCAGACUCCUACGGGAGGCAGCAGUGGGGAAUAUUGCGCAAUGGGCGGAAGCCUGAUGCAGCAACGCCGCGUGCGGGAUGACGGCCUUCGGGUUGUAAACCGCUUUCGCCUGUGACGAAGCGUGAGUGACGGUAAUGGGUAAAGAAGCACCGGCUAACUACGUG
rnacentral:rRNA from 1 species